rnacentral:lncRNA from 1 species
CCACUGUGACGUAACACGUCAGAAAACGUCAUAGACACCGCCCACUCGGCGAACUGUCUCCGAGCGGAGCCGGGCUGGAUUGGAUUGGACCCCUGGGCGGGAAAGGACGGACGGGUUAAGUAGCCAAUCACCAAUUGCGCUCCAGCCAGAGGGGCGAUGUUCUUGGGGAGCCUGGGGAUCUGGAAGAAGUUCAGUGUGAGGACGAGUGUUAGGAAAUAAGGCUGAAGACAGAGGCAACCCUGGAGGAUCUUCUAACCCAUGUCAAGCAGUUGAGAAUUUAUGGAGUGAAAUAGCAAGCCAUUGAAGAGUUUCAAGCUUUCAUCCAGCUUUUAAGGGAAACUAAUAUCUCAUGAAAUUGUGAGGGCCUGGAAUCUUCAAAGAGCCAAGGAUUCUGCCAGACUGAGCAAUAGACUUGAUGAGCAUUCUCCACUUAAGAUCUGAACUAUGAGAAGUCGAAUCAAAGCAGUUCUUUUGUAAUUCCAAACAGCCAUUUAGACAUAUGAAGAAAUGAAAGUAAAGCAGUUCUAAAGACAAGGAAGAGGGUCAAUGAAAGGUGCUCCCAAUGCAAUCACAAAGAUCUUUAAAAGUGGAAGAAGGUGGGAGAGGUCAGAGUGAUACGAAGAGAACUCAGUCUACCACUGCUGGCUUUGAAGAUGGAAGAAUGGGGCUAUGAGCCCUGGAUUGCGGGCAGCCUGCAGAAGCUGGGGCAGAGAUUCCACACAGGCACCUCUAGAAAAUAAUGCAGCCAGCCAAUCCUUAGACUUUAUCCCAGUGAGAGUCAAGUUGGACUUCUGACCUACAAAAGAGUAAAUAUCUAAAUUAUCUGUGGCAACAACUUGGUGGGGUCAACUCGAAUGUUUUUGUCGGCUGUUCUUGAAGACUUCUGGGUCUCUACAACCACAUUCUUUGGCUGGUGCCAGUGUUUAAGCACUCUGAAACUGCAUAGCAGCAUGUUUGAAGGUGGCCUGUCAAAUUUGGGAAACUGACGGUGUGACUGAGCUAGUCACAGGGGUCUUCACAGAAAAGGCAGUCGGGGUCCUGGUCAACUGGAGAUUCCAUCUGAAUGAUGAGAAGAAUACACCUUGGCAGCUGCUGGAUCAAGGCAAAUGAGAGACCCAUGGAGCUCACUAAAUCCAACUCUACAGCUUGGAGCUAAGCCUAACUUAGCCAAGUCUAAACCAGUUUGACCUCAGCCAAUUCACAGAUGUUUGAGCCAGAAGUAAGGUGCUUGUUGCUGGAAGCCAGUUAAAUUUUGAGAUCUUUUUGAAAAAUAUAUUGUCAUUGCAGACAUAGAUGCACAUAGUUUUCCACACUGUGGGAAGUCAAAUUAAGCAUGCUUAGACUUUUAAAGCAGAAGCCCAUUAUUAGUGGGGUGGCAAAAAUGUUACAAGUGACAUAGUCCUCCAAUUUCCUUCUUCUAGCCCUCUGCCUAAGAACUAGUGUACUUCAUUUUGAAGUGGAGCCCUAACGGGAGUGUUCAUCUUCUGUCAACAGGGUUAAGCCUCUUGACGCUUACUGGGCACUCACAGUUGUUAGUUCCCUGGAAGACAUGAAAGAGCUUGAUUGGUUCUGUAGUCGUCAGUCAAUAACCAACUGUAACAUACCUACACUUCCAACAAAAUCUUGAUUUGGGAAAUUGAGUGUCUGCUUAUAGUUAAUCCUCUAUUUUUUGACACCUAGUAGGAAAAACAUUUUCAAAAGAGCCAUGACCUGACUCAGUUAAUAUGCAAGGAAAAAUAAGCAGUUCCAAACUUGUCAGUUUAUCCAUCAUCCCUUAUCCAAAAUCCUUCAACUCUCUUGGAAUUAUUUUGUUCUUCAUACUUGCCCAACAAAUAUCUUACUCUUGUCUUGGACUUUAUUUUAUAGUUAUCUCACAUAAGCUCCUUGUGGCUAAGGGCACAUAUUUGGAAUCAGACUACCCUAGUUCAACUCUUGGGUCUACCAUUUAUUAGCUUGUAUUACUUUGGGAAAGAUAAUUAAAUUCUCCAGAUCUAAUUUCCCCCAUUAUAAGAUAAUAAUAGUUAUUACCUGCUAGGAUUGUCUUGAGAAGUAAAUUAGAUAAUUCAUAAGAACCAUUUAACACAGUGCCAGCCACAUAAUGAAGGCAUAGUAAGGGAAAGUUAUUAUGCUGUUGAUAAUACUUGUCUAGGCAGGGGUCUCAUAUUUUUCCCUGUAUCCAUUACUGUACAAUUCAUCUGUCCCAUGACAUUCUAAGAUUGUUUUAGAGUGAGUUGCUUCAGAGUUGAAUAAUUCUAAUAAUAUAUUCUCAUGUUUGGAAACAACUUGGAAUUCCAUUUAGUGUAGACAUCAACAAUGAAAUCGCUAGAGGAUGAGUAAUUUCUACAAUUUUUAUUCAUUAUAGAGAGACCAAUGGGUAUAAUGGUGAAAAGAACUGAGUAGAAGGUCAGGAGGUCAAAGAGACUGAGUUUAAACCCUCACUCUGCUGAGUACUGUUAAUAAUGGUAUGAUCUUAAGAGAACUAAUCUUUAGUUUUUCCCACCUUAAAAACAGAGUUGUCAUGAGUAUUUAAUAAUAGAGGGUAGUAUGUAAACUUCCUGGCAUAUAGCAACUGCUCAACAAAUAGAAGUUAUAGUUUUUUCUUAACUUGCCAAAGAGCCAAGGGAAAAAUGAAGAUUUUGUAGCCAAAGCCAUUUAUCUUUCUCUGUUAUGUGCCUAUCUGUUCCAGAAACAGAAUCAAUUCCUUGAACCUCAUCAAAGGAAGGAUUUGAACAUUUAAAAAAAAAUCAAUCUCUUUGGGUUUGUUAUUGCUUGUUUCCCAUACCUCAGAGACACAAAUACAAACCUUUAUAAUGUCAUCAGGAAGAAGAGGAGUCAAACACUCCUUAACUCAAUAAUUGCAAUGUUAUUAUUUUGCAAGGAAUAGAGUCAAAAUUCCAUUCACAUGAGGACUGUAACUUCUUCAUUACUCCUUGAGGCACGAUGUCCUUGAUUUUAAGUAGCUCAUGUAGAAACUAGUUGUAAGUCUUUAGCGGAGAGACUGUACUGGAAUUAUAGGAUCUACUUAGGGGUUUGAGCUUCCCCACCCACUUAGAGUGACAGUUCACACCUAUAAAAACACAAAAGUCCGGGGGUUUAUUAAACAUUAGGAGAUCCAAAGAGCCAAGACUUCUACCUGUAAAAGUGGUGCUUCCUAAGCAGAAGAAAUGGAAUUUCUCAGAGAAUACAGCUUGGCUUGACCAAUGGACUGUACAAGGAAGAUUAGGAGGUAAUUACUGGGGUAAAAGAGAAAUGGUUGCAUCUUUCUGGAACACUCUAAUAAAACUGAAAGUUUUUCCUGAUUUCUUCUUUUAUUUGAUACAAGGGUCAAAUUUGAUACAUAAAGUCAUAAUGUCCCACAUGUACUUCUCAGGAACAUCUGUUUAGUCCUACUACAAAACUUGGGGAACAUGGUUUCCUAAUGUGGUACCAGUCGUCUCUUCAUGGAUGACUUCAGGAAGAAAUUCUGACUGGCAGACUCCACAAGUAUAAGACAAUAAGAGGCCAAUUUCUUUAUUCUUCUCCUCUUCUCCGCUUGUCCCCCCACCUCAUUAGCUUUGGGAGAAUAACACAGUGUGGAACAGAAAAAUAAGGAGCCUUGUUGUACUUCAUUGGCCUCAAGAGGUCUCAUCUAUUAAAUAGAUCCAUUAUGUUACUCUCAGAGAAAAUUAUAGUCAAAAAUAUUUCAAGUUUUAGGGCAGUACUGAAUAUAUAAGGGCUCUGUUACUUAAUCUCUGUGCUCUUAUCUUGGGGCGGCAAAGCUCAGUAGGGCUAUCUUGAAAGUAGCCUGAAAUCAAUUGGUCAGAUGAAAUCAAUUGGUCAGGAGGAGCCCAUCAGGAGGAUCAAGGACAUGGGUGACACAGUGAGUGUAAUUAUUAGUCAGGAUAGGUUAGGUUAGGCAUUAGUGGCAAAUUAUCUCCAAAUCUCAGUGGCUUGGUACAAUAAAGGCUUAUUGCUUAUUCAUGCAGCAUGUCUACUGCAGGUCCACAAGGGCUCUGUUCCACUCACAGAUCCAGAUUGUAACAUUCUUUGCCAUCUCAUAGCUACAUGAUCUAAACAUCAGCAGAAGGAAAGUGUCUUGGGUCAGGCUACCUGGAAAACAGAUCAAGAUAAAGAUUUCUGUGCAAAAAGGUUAUUGGGGAGGGAACUCUAAUUGAUAUCUGCCAGGGAUAGUGCAAGAAUGGUUGAGCAGACAAUUGUUGAACUACUUACUAUGUAUGUAGUAACAACAAAGGUCUUGACCAACCCAAAAGGGAGUCCUGGAGCUCAAAUGGUUCUUCACAGUUCUCUCACCUUAAGGCAAGGGACCUGGGCCUUUAUUAUCCCUUAUCAACCAGUCAUUUGAUUAGCUUGACCCCAGAGAGAGGUUAUGACCUUGAGUAAAGUGGCUCUCCUCUACUGAGGAUAAUUCCAGGAGAGCAACUCAGCUGAGAGCUGUCAGCAAUGGGAGGAAUCAGAGUCUCAGUCCUGAAGAGCAGAUCUGGGCAGCAUAUCAUAGCAUCCACCACAAGGGGGAAAGUGCGUGCACUUUUCAUUGCCUCCACCUGGGAGUGACAUAUGCCAUUUUUUGCUGUCAUUUCAAUGACCAAAAGGAGUCACAUGAUUCUAAUUGGAAGGAACCUGGG